UGGCAGUUGCUCAGGUUAGUUAGGAUUAACGCUAUGGAUGUAACUCCAGAGAUAUCAGCCUCACCAAAGAAUGACAUUGCGAGUGCUAAUUCCACAGCAUUAAGAUAUGGUAGUAGUAUCAUGAUAUUGCAGAAUGAGGGAAGUAAAGGAGACUUUCAAAUUACUGGAAGUACAGAAACUCUGUUUCGAAUACCUAUCACUAUCUGGGAUGAAAGUCGAUUUGUCCUGAGGGCCUGGGCUCUCUCCAUUAGUGCUUUAGCAUUUUUGCUGCUGCUUUCUUUGGCUGAUGGACGACUGGCUAUCAUUGAAGUAUCAGCAAUUCACACUGAAGUCCUGGGCUACUUUACCAACUGCCAACGGCACACCUGCCCCAAACUAGACAAGGUCACAGUGAGUAAACACCUGGGAAUGGGCUUCAUGAUCCUUGCCCUGGCCACUGAGACUUUCUGCCUCUUCUUCAUGGGCUUCUCUUUCCGGCCCAUCUUCCGAAGAAUCAAUCGCUGUGAUUUGGUCUUUGGUAUCCUCAACUAUACCACUGGCACCCUCUGCCUGAUCAACUACUGGCAUACCUUCAGGGUUCCCACCUCGCCCUCGAAGCCCGGCUCGAUGAUCGCGCUGCAGGGAUCCUCGUCUUCCUACUCCCAUAACGUGAUGAAAAAACUCCGGGUGGGGCGACGCAGGACCACCUUCCAAAUUACGCCCCAUCUGUCCUAGCGAGCCCCGGCCUCCUACUGCCUCCCUCCACUGGCAUGCCCCCAAUUCAUUCAAUUCAAUGUCCCCAAUAAAACUUGCCCGUCUUCGAGUCCUAGAACUUUU
rnacentral:lncRNA from 1 species